AGGCAACGCCUGCCCAGUGAACAAUUAAACGGCCGCGGUACACUAACCGUGCAAAGGUAGCGUAAUCAUUUGUCUAUUAAUUGUAGACCUGUAUGAAAGGCAAAAUGAGGGUCUAACUGUCUCUUAUAAUAAAUCAAUUAAACUGAUCUCCUAGUACAAAAGCUAGAAUAGCAACAUAAGACCAGAAGACCCUGUGAAGCUUUAACUAACCUAUUAAACCCAAUAAUAACUACUUUUGGUUGGGGCGACCUUGGAAAAAAAACAAACUUCCAAACNCAUGACUAGAAGUCAAAUAAANNGGCUCACAAGCCNAUUAANCGACCCAGCACAGCUGAUAACUGAACCAAGUUACUCCAGGGAUAACAGCGCUAUCUUCUUCAAGAGCCCAUAUCAAAAAGAAGGUUUACGACCUCGAUGUUGGAUCAGGACAUCCUAGCGGUGUAGCAGCUACUAAG
rnacentral:rRNA from 1 species